rnacentral:rRNA from 1 species
CCUACGGGAGGCAGCAGUAGGGAAUCUUCCACAAUGGGCGAAAGCCUGAUGGAGCAACGCCGCGUGGGUGAAGGUCUUCGGAUCGUAAAACCCUGUUGUUAGAGAAGAAAGUGCGUGAGAGUAACUGUUCACGUUUCGCCGGUAUCUAACCCGAAAGCAACGGCUAACUACGUGCCAGCAGCCGCGGUAAUACGUAGGUGGCAAGCGUUAUCCGGAUUUAUUGGGCGUAAGGGGAACACAGGCGGUCUUUUAAGUCUGAUGUGAAAGCCUUCGGCUUAACCGGAGUAGUGCAUUGGAAACUGGGAGACUGGAGUGCAGAAGAGGAGAGCGGAACUCCAGGUGUAGCGGUGAAAUGCGUAGAUAUAUGGAAGAACACCAGUGGCGAAAGCGGCUCGCUGGGCUGUAACUGACGCUGAGGUUCGAAAGCGUGGGUAGCAAACAGGAUUAGAUACCCGAGUAGUC